rnacentral:rRNA from 1 species
AUUGAACGCUGGCGGCAGGCUUAACACAUGCAAGUCGAGCGGGGGAAGGUAGCUUGCUACCGGACCUAGCGGCGGACGGGUGAGUAAUGCUUAGGAAUCUGCCUAUUAGUGGGGGACAACAUCUCGAAAGGGAUGCUAAUACCGCAUACGUCCUACGGGAGAAAGCAGGGGAUCUUCGGACCUUGCGCUAAUAGAUGAGCCUAAGUCGGAUUAGCUAGUUGGUGGGGUAAAGGCCUACCAAGGCGACGAUCUGUAGCGGGUCUGAGAGGAUGAUCCGCCACACUGGGACAGAGGCACGGCCCAGACUCCUACGGGAGGCAGCAGUGGGGAAUAUUGGACAAUGGGGGGAACCCUGAUCCAGUCAUGCCGCGUGUGUGAAGAAGGCCUUAUGGUUGUAAAGCACUUUAAGCGAGGAGGAGGCUACUUUAGUUAAUACCUAGAGAUAGUGGACGUUACUCGCAGAAUAAGCACCGGCUAACUCUGUGCCAGCAGCCGCCGCCG